rnacentral:rRNA from 1 species
UUAAGUCCCGCAACGAGCGCAACCCUCGCCUUUAGUUGCCAUCAUUUAGUUGGGCACUCUAAAGGGACUGCCAGUGAUAAGCUGGAGGAAGGUGGGGAUGACGUCAAGUCCUCAUGGCCCUUACGGGCUGGGCUACACACGUGCUACAAUGGUGGUGACAGUGGGCAGCAAGCACGCGAGUGUGAGCUAAUCUCCAAAAGCCAUCUCAGUUCGGAUUGCACUCUGCAACUCGAGUGCAUGAAGUUGGAAUCGCUAGUAAUCGCGGAUCAGCAUGCCGCGGUGAAUACGUUCCCGGGCCUU